UUCUUGUUCAAUAGAGGAUAAAUGUAGUUUGAGUGAUAAUAAUUAUUGUGCCGUACGAUCUGACUCCCUUACCACUGCCGAGAGUGUGAAGAAAACCGAUCUCUACACGAAAGUCUGACGUCUUUCAACCCCUCUUGUGAAGCUGAAGCGAAGUGCUGGCACGGCACUAACGACUAACGUAACAAUGACACCUGCUCUGUCACUCCUUGCACUCACCAUCACCGUGUGUAUUGUGCACAGUGAGGCAAGCGUGAGAAAUCUAACGGAUGUUAGAAUUGACAGUGACGUCACAGCCGAUCUUGGAGACAAUUGGAAGGCAAUCGAACUCUACUUGAUCGACUGUAGGGACCACGGGCGGAAGUUUAGCCAACAUAUGCAAAUGGGUCCCACGCACCGUCAAAAGGCACGCCACGGAAAUUGCAAACAGAAGGUCCGGUGUGCCGAAUUCGUGCCCGGCGUGGUUACAUUUCCACGACUCCACUAUGAGCAAAUACCGCCCACACGUACUCACCAUUUUUAUGGUUGCAACUGCCUUCCAAUCAAAUAUCCUUUUUCUUAUUUAAAGAAAGUUGGCAAUCACUGGGAAAUGCAGAUAAAGGCAAUUCUGGUCGGGCAGCGCUGCAACAAGAACCCCACCUGCCGUAGAUAUGAAUGCUGAGGCAUCUAUUCUUCAAUCAAAUUGAAUGAUGUUGCAUAGAACUAAGUGGAAAUAUUUACGACGGCGUAAUGCAUGCGUUCGCAUUUCACUAGUGUAGUAAACUCGCUCUGCACGAAUCUAGAAGUGUACGCCUAAACGUAGAUCACUAUUAUUUGCUUCAUGUGUUUCAUGAUCUCUAACGUUACAAUCCGUCCAAAUUACAUGUAUAUCCAGAUAACACAAGAGAGAGAGAGAGAGAGAGAGAGAGAGAGAGAGAGAGAGAGAGAGAGGUAGAGAGGGAAGCUGUGUUGUGUUUUAGUCACGAUCACCAGGCAACAUGCAUAUCCAAAUACAUGUAUUAAUCCGAAUCAUUUCCGUGCAAUCAGCUCAAACAAACGGCCUACUAUUAUGGUCCCUACCAACCAAAAGUUCCCAUGUUGUCUCCUCUACAUGUAUUAUCCUUCUGCAAUAUCUUCGAUAUUUUAUCCUUUUGAUUAUUCCGAUUUAACAUCAUAUUACCACUAUUUCAAACCAUAUCAUAACACAAAGACAAUUCCUUUCAAUCAUGAUCUACUUG